rnacentral:lncRNA from 1 species
GGUUCUAGCCUGUGCCCCGCUCCAGGCCCUGAUAAUGAGUGUCUUUGUGCAUCCCUGUUUCUCCUUUCCACAUGGGAGCUGGAGAGUGGAUCAACACGUGGCGGUGUUUGCACUGAACCCUGGCUCUGCUGCCCACGAGUCUGUAGCGAGUUACUCAGGGGGCCUCCGAGACUGGCCCAUGCAUGCUGAUGCUGGCUCAUGCCAAUUACAGGCUGAGUGAUGGAGCAGCCUUGUGUCAUCUCGCUGGUGCGUGGCAACAGCAGGAGGAAAGAAGAGAUAGGAGUGGCCCCUCUCCCCAUCACAGCCAUGGAGGUGACAAGAGAUUGCCAGAGACAUGAGCUUGACUCUAGAUGGAGAAUGAUGGCCAAGGCUUCCGAGUCAGUAAGAAAGAAAGAACAAGGCCAGGGAUGGGGGACAUUCCAGUUUGAGUCACAGUUGCUGCUGACCUACCGGCCACUGUGAGUCACCAGGCAAAACCCAGAGUCAGUGUGGGAAGCGACUGACCAACAGCAAGGACACAGGUAGGGCCAUGGUUGUGGCCAGUUUUGCUGACUUAAAA